rfam:Gorilla gorilla gorilla genomic chromosome, chr2B, whole genome shotgun sequence
GCCAGGCAUGGUGGUGCAUGCCUGUAUUCCCAGCUACUCGGGAGGCUGAGGUGGGAGGAUUGCUUGAGCCUGGGAAGUGGAGGUUGCAGUGAGCUCAGAUUGGGCCACUGCACUCCAGCCUGGGUGACAAAGUGAUACCCCGUCUCAA